rnacentral:rRNA from 1 species
GGCGGAGGGUGAGUAACACGUGGGCAACCUGCGUGUAAGCGUGUAAUAACUUCGGGAAACCGAAGCUAAUACCGGAUAGGCUCUUCUCCUUCAUGGGAGAUGAUUGAAAGAUGGUUUCGGCUAUCACUUACAGAUGGGCCCGCGGUGCAUUAGCUAGUUGGUGAGGUAACGGCUCACCAAGGCAACGAUGCAUAGCCGACCUGAGAGGGUGAUCGGCCACACUGGGACUGAUAUACGGCCAAGACUCUUAUGGGUUGCUACCUUAGGUUAUUUUCCUGAAUGUUAGAUGUUUGGUGGUUGCUACCUUCCGUGAGAGAUGUUGCGCUUUGGGUGUGUGAUGUUGGUUUAUUUGUUGAAAUGUUGUAGGCCGUUUCUUUUGCCCUUCUUUUUUUUUUAUGUUAUGGACCCUACCUAUUUUUCACUGCUGUUUAGUUUCGAGCUUUCGUACAUUAUUUAUGUGUUUACAGUUAUGAUAAUUUAUCUUGAUAUGUGUUAACUUUCGUUAAUUGCUUUUUAUCUUUGCGUGUCUCGUUUUCUGUGGUAUUCUUUACACGCAGGAUGUGCUGGGUUACUUGGUGAGUAUACUUGUAUUAUGCUUCAAUUUCUAAUCGUCUGCAGUGGCUUGUUGUUACUUUGUUCGUUUACCUUUUUCGCCUGGUAAUAAACUGUUUUAUGAGUCUGUCUAAUUUAUUCCUUUCCUUUUUAUUCUCUCUGUGUUGUGUAAGCUCUCCUUGUCUGUGUGUAUAUUUCUGCUACUUAAUAUCUGCUUUCGACUGUAGUAUGUUUCUUUUCUUUAUUGCUCUUAUACUUAUUCCCGUACUCAUUGGUUCCCCUCCUGUAUUAGUUUGGAUCUACUAGACAUUGUAUGAUCUUUUAUUUUAGAUUCCAUUCUUUUUAUCUUCGUUAUUCCUCUUUCCUUUACUUCUUUUUUAGACACUUUUAGGCUAUUGACCUCCUUCUUCUUCUUGUUAUUCUCUGCAUUCUUA